GCUUCCUCGCACCUGCGUCAGCGCUCUGAGCGGAGGCGCGUGGCGUGCGCGGCGGUGCGGUGUCCGGUUCCACAGCGCGGCACGGAGCGCGUGUUCGGAGCACAGACUCCGUGGCUUCCCCGCAGUGACACGCGGACUUUACGAAGUGAGGAUAUCUGGUGUGUUUUGGCUCGGACGCUCCUCGCGCACGGCUGCGCUCCUCGAUGACCGGGAGUUCGGCGCCUCGCCCGGUUUGUUUCUCCAAUGCUCUUGGUCCCUGAGGCCUGAGGAGAAGUGAGCCAAGCUCAGGCCCCCAUGGGACGCCCUGUUACCCAGCAUGCAGUGCUCCUGCUGCAGUGCCUGCUGGUCCUGCAGCCUGGACGUGUGGCCAGCAGGAGAGGGCCGGUACUGCUGCCCGAAUCUCCAUGUCACAAGAUGGAACAUCCACUCAUCCCCCACUCAGAGAUGGAGCCGUGGAUCUUCAGGUUCAAGGCAGAGGGCACGGUGGAUUACUCCCAGCUGACCUUUGACCCUGGUCAGAAUGAACUCAUCGUCGGCGCCAGGAAUCAUCUCUUCAGGCUCAAUCUGGAGGACCUGACACUGAUCCAGGAGGCUGAGUGGCACUGUGAUGAGUUCACCAAGGGAGCCUGCUUCAGCCGUGGAAAAUCAGAGGAGGAGUGUCAGAACUACAUCAGAGUGCUGCUGGUCAACGGGAACCGGCUGUUCACCUGUGGAACCAACGCCUUCACGCCCAUCUGCACCAACCGGACGUUGACAAAUCUGACGGAGAUCCACGAUCAGAUCAGUGGAAUGGCUCGGUGUCCCUACAACCCCCUCCACAACUCCACCGCCCUCAUCACCUCCAGCGGGGAGCUGUAUGCAGCCACAGCCAUGGACUUCUCUGGGCGAGACCCCGCCAUAUACCGGAGUCUUGGCGGCCUGCCACCCCUUCGCACCGCCCAGUACAACUCCAAGUGGCUGAACGAGCCAAACUUUGUCUCAUCUUAUGAUAUCGGCAACUUUACCUACUUCUUCUUCCGGGAAAAUGCGGUGGAACACGAUUGUGGCCGAACAGUGUUUUCCCGAGCAGGACGCGUCUGUAAGAAUGACAUCGGUGGCCGCUUCCUACUGGAGGACACAUGGACCACCUUCAUGAAGGCUAGAUUGAACUGUUCCAGGCCAGGAGAAAUCCCCUUCAACUACAAUGAGCUGCAGGGCACCUUCUACCUGCCUGAGCUGGAACUGCUCUACGGGAUCUUUACAACCAAUGUGAACAGCAUCGCGGCCUCUGCAGUCUGCGUCUUUAAUCUCAGCGCCAUAGCACAAGUUUUCAACGGGCCCUUCAAGUUUCAGGAGAACUCACGCUCCGCCUGGCUGCCGUACCCAAACCCCAACCCCGACUUCCAGUGCGGAACCAUCGACUCUGGCUCCUACGUGAACCUGACUCAGAGAAACCUGCAGGAUGCUCAGAAGUUUUUGCUGAUGCACGAGGUGGUCCAGCCCGUGGUUCCUGUGCCCUAUUUCAUGGAGGACAAUGUUCGCUUCACUCAUGUGGCGGUGGAUGUGGUGCAGGGGAAGGACACGCUGCUCCACAUUAUCUUUUUGGCCACUGAUUAUGGUACUAUCAGGAAAGUGCUUUCCCCUCUCAAUCAGUCCACGGGGAGCUGCAUGCUGGAGGAGAUCGAGCUCUUCCCGCCCAGAAAGAGACAGCCGAUCCGAAGCCUGCUGAUCCUGCACAGCCGCAGCGAGCUCUAUGUGGGUGUAAGAGACCAGGUCAUCAAGAUCCCGCUCAAGAGGUGUAGCUACCACAAGACCAGAGAAGCGUGUGUGGGGGCCCGGGACCCGUACUGUGGCUGGGAUCUGCUGCUGAAGAAAUGCACCACCCUGGAGGAGAGCGUCAGAAUGAGCCAGUGGGAGCAGAGCAUCACAAAGUGUCCUGUCCGUAAUGUCACAGUCGAUGGCGGCUUUGGUGCCUGGUCGGGCUGGUCGUCUUGUAGCCAUAACGACGGAGGCAGCGCGGGGACCUGUCUGUGUCGGACGCGAGCCUGUGACAGCCCCGCCCCUCAGUGUGGUGGACAGCAGUGCCUCGGUAUCAGCGUCGAGGUCGCCAACUGCUCGAGAAACGGGGCCUGGACUCCCUGGACUUCCUGGUCUCCCUGCAGCACCAGCUGUGGUAUCGGUUUUCAGGUUCGGCAGCGCUCCUGCAGCAACCCGACACCUCGUCACGGUGGGCGAGUCUGUGUGGGCCAGAACCGCGAGGAGAGGUACUGUAACGAACACCUGCCCUGCCCGCCGCACGUGUACUGGUCAGCCUGGUCGUCGUGGGAACGCUGCAAUGUGCCAUGUGGAGGAGGGAUCCAGUCAAGACGUAGAACCUGCGAGAACGGCAACGACUGUCCAGGGUGUGGUCAGGAGUAUCAGUCGUGCAACACCCUGCCCUGUCCUGAAUUGAAGAAGACCACACCGUGGACGCCGUGGACUCCGGUCAACAUCUCUGACAACGGCGGGCACUACGAGCAGCGUUUCCGUUACACCUGCAAGGCUCGCAUCCCGGACCCCAGCCUGCUGGAAGUGGGCCGGCAGAGGAUCGAGAUGAGGUACUGCUCCAGCGACGGAUCCACCGGCUGCUCCACUGACGGCGAGGUGCUUCGUCUGGGGAGGAUCUCGGGCCACAUGGUAAGUGGUGGUUGGUCAUCCUGGAGUUCCUGGUCCCAGUGCAGCCGAGACUGCAGCCGAGGAAUCCGCAGCCGCAAGAGGACCUGCAGUAACCCGGAGCCCAGGUACGGAGGUCAAACCUGCCUGGGACCAGCGCAGGAAUACCAGGAGUGCAACAUCACCCCGUGUCCAGUGGAUGGCAGCUGGUCUUGUUGGUCAUCCUGGUCCAAGUGCUCAGUGACAUGUGGAGGUGGACAUUACAUGAGGACUCGAACCUGCAGCAACCCUCCACCAGCGUACGGUGGAGACAUCUGUCUGGGCCUGCACACUGAGGAGGCGCUGUGCAACACGCAGUCUUGUCCGGAGAGCUGGUCCAGCUGGUCGGAGUGGUCGCACUGCGACCCCAGUGGCGCUCAGCUCCGCGUGCGUCACUGUGAUGUCCUGUUUCCCACCGGAAACCAGUGCUCAGGAAACAGCAGUGAGACCAGACCGUGCACUCCAGACUCCAAUUUUAUACCAGAAGUCUCAAUUGCACGCUCCAGUCAGGACGAGAGGCACUGUGGAGACUUCAACCUGUUCCACAUGAUCGCCGUGGGGCUCAGCAGCUCCAUCCUGGGCUGCCUGGUCACGCUGCUCGUCUACUCGUACUGCCAACGCUACCAGCAGCAGUCACACGACGCCACCGUCAUCCACCCCAUUUCAGCUGCGCCGCUCAACACCAGCAUCACCAACCACAUCAACAAACUGGACAAAUACGACUCCGUGGAAGCCAUCAAGCCAGACGUGUCAGUACUCUUGCCCUUUGAUGACCCUGCCAUGCACCAGCCUCUCUCUGCUAACAAGGGGGUGUCCAUGCGCGGCCUGGAGAUUUUCUACUAACCACUGACCUCAACAACAUCCCGUCUCUCGAUCCCCCCCAACAGCUCUUUGACCCCACUUCUUCCUCUUCCCCAACGUGCCCCUUCCACCUCCCGUGGCACUUCAUGUGUGUGGCAGGCCUUCAACAAAAAUAAUCUGAUUCUGGAGGAACGAAAUAAAUACUUCAACCCACAGCUUUCUGGGAAAACUUACACCAACGCCUUCUUCACCGACCUCAACACCUACGAUGACUAUUAGCUCCGCCCACAGUGGACCCGCCCAUCACACCUUUUCCACUCCUUUUUUUUCCUUUGUGCUUUGUGAUGAGAAUGGUGACACCACACGUGGGUUCGUCCCGCUCUGAAACUUUACGGCAGCUGACACCGUCAGAGGGAACCGCCCAUUUUCUCACAGGUGCCUUGUGGGUACGCACAGAAAACUUGAUUUUUGACAAAUAUCGCAAAGGAAACGGGUUAUCUGCUUUCCUGAUGUGGACAAAAUAAUAAAAAAUAAAAAAAACUGCUCAGAGAGAGAUUGCGGAAAAACGUUCCCGCCUCGAAUGCAGACGUGCAUUUGUAACGAGGAAUUAAACCACAAAGUUUGCAUGACUUCAUCUGGUCUUUUCUCCUUUUGUUUUGCAUGAAUGAUCCACAUUCCAGAGUUUGGGGACUUUAGCAUCCUUUGCUCUCAUCUGCUUAAAGUCAGGAAAAUAAAAGCCGGAAGGUUUUUUUUUCCGAUACGAAGAUCUCUUGUUGGAUCAUCAUCCGCCUGCAGUCUUAGAAUCAGGAGUAGAUGUUAGAAACCUGUCCUCAGGUUUGUCCAAGUUUUAGUUCCCUCAUUACAGACUAUUAUAGCAGCUAGCGGUGGUUGAACUGUCUGUGUAAAAGCUUUUUUGUUUUUUUUUCAUUUUUUGUACAGGACUUUUAUUUUGAAGCUUUGUCUGUAGUUUUUCUAAAUGCAUUUAUGAAAUGUCCCAUGUGUUUAAAGAAUAAAAUGUUUUAUUUUGAAAAGAAAGGUUUAUGUGACAGGAGUCCAGCAGAUUCAGUCUUUCAAACUUUUUUAUAUUUUUUGGUAAAUUGAAACAAACAAACAAAAAAAAGCUGUUUAUGAAUUUUGAUAGUGUUGGAUUUUUUUUCUUUGUUGUCUGAUUUAAACGUGUUUCCAGGAGCAGGAUUGUUGGCGGCGUUCGUUGUACAGUUGAAGUGUAGCCAAAAGUGUCCGCCCGAACCACAGGCGGCGUAAGACGAGAAUUCCUCCUCAGAGUGCGACGUUUCUGUUCGACAUAUAACCAGACGUUAGGUUGUCCAGUGGUUCCGUUGCAGCUAACUCUUUUUACAUGUUUGCUUGUGCUAUUGUGCAUAAAUUAAAAACUGCUUCGUAC